rfam:Chlorocebus sabaeus isolate 1994-021 chromosome X, whole genome shotgun sequence.
ACAUCUGUCACCUCAUUGAUUGCCAGGGUUGACUGGGCUGAUCUGGAUGGCUAUAUGUGUAU